CACCAGAAACAGCUCCUCCAUCGAGACAGCUGAACGUUCCCUUGCCCAAUACCAUGAAAGCACUGAACCUCCUGCUGGUGGUGGCCUUGGCCCUGACUGCGCUGGUGGUGGUGGAGGCCAUGCCUGGCCCCUUCCCCGACGCUGACCCCGAGGCCCUCGCCGACCCUGCCCCUUGGGGUGGAUACGGACGCUUUGGUGGCUUUGGGUUUGGCCGUGGCUUUGGAUAUGGAGGAGGGUAUGGAUAUGGGGGCUACUGGCGUUGAUUAACGCGGAAUAUACUGGCGAGGGAAGCAUGUGAGCUAAGAAGACCGCGGUGCUACUCACGCCACAACUCGGCUGUUUUCCCCUCGUGCCAGUGAAGUGCAGCGAGAGGCAGACUACCAUCACUGCCCCUGAUACGCUGCUAACAUCCUCGCCACCUCUGACUUCGCCGAUCUUUGACAUCUUCCCAAUAUUAGAAGAAAACUUGCCCUCUUCAAUGACUAACAUACAUAUACACUAAAUUUAAUUUAAUCUUAACUGGUUCAAAAUAAAAUGCACUCACUAGA